rnacentral:rRNA from 1 species
UGAGUACGAGCUGCUACGGCAGCGAAGUGGGUGAUGUCAAGCUUCCAAGAAAAGCCCUAUACCCGUUAAGGCAUGAUGGCCUGUACCCGAAACCGACACAGGUGGGGUGGUAGAGAAUACCGAGGGGCGCGAGGUAACUCUCUCUAAGGAACUCGGCAAAAUGGCCCCGUAACUUCGGGAGAAGGGGUGCCACCGCAAGGUGGUCGCAGUGAAGAGGCCCAGGCGACUGUUUACCAAAAACACAGGUCUCCGCUAAGUCGCAAGACGAUGUAUGGGGGCUGACGCCUGCCCAGUGCCGGAAGGUUAAGGAAGCUGGUCAGCGCAAGCGAAGCUGGCGACUGAAGCCCCGGUGAACGGCGGCCGUAACUAUAACGGUCCUAAGGUAGCGAAAUUCCUUGUCGGGUAAGUUCCGACCCGCACGAAAGGCGUAACGAUCUGGGCGCUGUCUCGGAGAGAGGCUCGGCGAAAUAGAAUUGUCUGUGAAGAUGCGGACUACGUGCACCCGGACAGAAAGACCCUAUGAAGCUUUACUGUAGCUUGGUAUUGUGCCCGGGCUCUGAAUGCGCAGGAUAGGUGGGAGGCUUUGAUCCAUUGCUUGUGGGUGAUGGUGAGCCACUGGUGAGAUACCACUCUUUCAGAGCUAGGGUUCUAACGGUCACCCGUUAUCCGGGGACCGGACAGUAUCAGGUGGGCAGUUUGACUGGGGCGGUCGCCUCCUAAAAGGUAACGGAGGCGCGCAAAGGUUCCCUCAGGCUGGUUGGAAAUCAGCCGACGAGUGUAAAGGCAGAAGGGAGCUUGACUGUGAGACCUACAAGUCGAACAGGGACGAAAGUCGGCCUUAGUGAUCCGACGGUUCUGAGUGGAAGGGCCGUCGCUCAACGGAUAAAAGUUACUCUAGGAUAACAGGCUGAUCUCCCCCAAGAGUUCACAUCGACGGGGAGGUUUGGCACCUCGAUGUCGGCUCAUCGCAACCUGGGGCUGAAGUCGGUCCCAAGGGUUGGGCUGUUCGCCCAUUAAAGCGGUACGCGAGCUGGGUUCAGAACUCGUGAGACAGUUCGGUCCAUAUCCGGUGCACGCGCAGGAACAUUGAGAGGAUUUCUCCCUAGUACGAGAGGACCGGGAGGAACUCACCUCUGGUGUACCAGUUAUCGUGCCAACGGUAAACGCUGGGUAGCCAUGUGCGGAGUGGAUAACCGCUGAAAGCAUCUAAGUGGGAAGCCCACCUCAAGAUGAGUGUUCCCAUGGCAUAAGCCAGUAAGGUCACGGGAAGAACACCCGUUGAUAGGCUCUACGUGGAAGCGUGGCAACACGUGAAGCGGAGGAGUACUAAUAGACCGAGGGCUUGACC